rnacentral:hammerhead_ribozyme from 1 species
GCACUGCUGAGGAGACCCACGAUAGGACGAAACGGCCGUCCAGUGU